rnacentral:lncRNA from 1 species
GGGCUGGGCACUGUGGGGUGACUCCUAACCCUAUCUCAUAUUUAAUUUGGUUUUUCAACUCAUGUCAUAUUCUCUUGUGGAGGGCAUAUAAUUGGUUUUUAAGUAAAGUGAAUUCAAAGUGAGGGUGGAUUUAAAGUAAUUUAUUAUCUGUUCUUGGGGUACCUUGGGUUACUCAAGAACAAAAACCAUUGCUGCAGCUGUGACCACCUUUUUCCCGUCAGAAAAGAUAGCUAAACAUCAGAUCAAGCACAAACAUCUCAACCAAGCAAACUUAUGAUAUUUAACUCUUGGACCCAACUGACCUGUUGGUUGCCACAUCCUCAUUUUCUGUGUUAACAUCUAAAGACAGAGAAGUAGGUUUAUAUAAAUUGAAGGCGUAGCUGAACAAUUGCCUCGUGGUUCCAACUGAACACAAAAUUUCUUUAAAUAUGAAAGCGUUAGCAGAAAUCUUUUCUUGUAAAAAAUUUUCACUGUUAUACUCUUUCUGCUCGUCUAAUUUCUAGCUUGACCUACGAAGAACUGUCAAGACAGCCGGCGAGGGGUUGUGUCGGAGGCAGUAAUGGCUCCUUUAACAACAGAGAACAGAAAAAUCUCAAAAGUGAAGCCUAUUGUCAAGGGACUCACAUUGCCCUGGCUGACUUCCAAGAAUAGAAGAAGGAAUGAAGGAAUGGUUCCUGACCCUGGAGAGUGGAGUACAAGAGAGAGAAAUGCAUUUAGUGCCAAUGACAGUGUUUGAGUGUUAAUCACACUAUAUCAACUUGAAUGGAUGGAGAAACACCUAGUGGAUUAUCAAAGCACAGUUCUGAGUGUAUCUGCAGGUAACUGACAUGUAGGCUAAAACUGAAGUGGGGAGACCCACCCAGUUGUGGGCGGCAAACACCGAUAGGUUCAUAGCUUGGAUAGAAGAAAAAUGGAAAGAGAAGGGAAGUGUAUCUGUUUUGAAGAGCUUCAGUCUCCAGUUUCUACAGCUUUCAAUGCAGACUCACCCUCAUGGCUCUCCAGUGAGCUUUGAGGUCUUCGACUUUGAACUGGUGUUGCAUCCUGAUCCCUUUUGUUCUGUGGCUCGUAUAUCCUGGGCUGAACUGCUGCAAGAUCUUCUAGCUCUCCAGGGUGCAGACAGCCAUGGUGGACUCUCCUGCCUUUCAUCCUGAAAUCCUACCUAAUAAAUCCCCUUGCA